GAGUUUGAUCCUGGCUCAGGAUGAACGCUGGCGGCGUGCUUAACACAUGCAAGUCGAACGAGAAGUAAAGGAACGGACACUUCGGUGGAAGGGACUUUACGGAAAGUGGCAGACGGGUGAGUAACGCGUGGGCAACCUGCCCUGAACAGAGGGAUAGCCACCGGAAACGGUGAUUAAUACCUCAUGAAGCGAGAGGGUCGCAUGACUUUCUUGUUAAAGAUUUUAUCGGUUCAGGAUGGGCCCGCGUCUGAUUAGCUAGUUGGUAGGGUAACGGCCUACCAAGGCGACGAUCAGUAGCCGACCUGAGAGGGUGAUCGGCCACACUGGAACUGAGACACGGUCCAGACUCCUACGGGAGGCAGCAGUGGGGAAUAUUGCACAAUGGGCGCAAGCCUGAUGCAGCAACGCCGCGUGAAUGAUGAAGGCCUUCGGGUCGUAAAAUUCUGUUCUAAGGGAAGAAGCAGUGACGGUACCUUAGAAGCAAGCUCCGGCUAACUACGUGCCAGCAGCCGCGGUAC
rnacentral:rRNA from 1 species